UUGUGCCAGUUCUCACCAGGCGUGCCUGCAGAUUUGUCAUUCUGUGUUUUGGGUUAGGUUAUUGUUCCACUGGCAACUACACCAGAAGCUCUGGAGGGGUACAGGUGUUUCAAGGUCAGCUUUCUGGCUUGGUCUGACACGUGUGAGGACGUUAAAUACAUGACUUAAAAUACUUGCAGCACUGGCUGAUUCUCAUCGACGAGUGAGAGAAGGUGCACUGUACCUGAUCAUCUUCUUGCAGCAGAGAUCAUGGAACAAGAGCCUGCUAAGGGAGAGGAACAACAGCAUGGCCCUCACCGCACACAAGGAAAGACUCUGGUUCUCCAGCAGGGCCUGGGGGAAGCCAGGACUGCAUCUGGGGUGUGGUAAGGUGAUAAAUCUGAGCACCCCUCCCACACCCAGGGGAUCCUAUUUGAGUGGAAAGACUUCAGCAUGAGUUGGAUGAGGUCCCAGAGCAUCCUGCAAUAUUAUGGAGAGCAGCGUAACUGCCAUAAGAAUGAUCCCGAAAAUAAAGUGAUUAGUGCUCAUUA